UCGAUGCUGCUCCGCCACAACAAAGUCUUCGUUUGCAUGUACGUGCAUACACUGUUCGGUGUAUAUAUCGACGCGUAAUUGCAUUGCAUAUUCUCUCUCUCUCUGCAAGAUGAAAAUUCAGCGAGGUAGACAACCAUCAUAAAUGUGAUCUUGUAUCAUAUAAUAGAAAAUAAGCCCGGUAUAUCGAAGAAUGCUGAAAUACUGGACACUGUCAUCUCUUAACGGAAGAUGUUCUAAAGCGGUAUUUAUAAAAUACUGUUUUUCUUUCUCUCUUAGAGAUAUCGUGCAUGUUGAAAAAAAAAAACUAUUCGCAUUAUGUUUUAGUAAAAAGAGCUAUGAAAAAAGCAACUGGUUUUCUCCGCCCAAGGCAGAGUUCUUCGAAAAUUCAUAGAAAUAUCAACUAUUCAUUUCACGUACGUGGGCGCAAAUGCUUUAUAUUUAAAAUGAGAGCUUUUUAUAUACAAGUCAAAUUGUUUAGUAUAACAAAUGAGAAACACGUCACGUAAUAGGUAGAUCUAGAAUUGUUAUAAUUUAUAUGUAGGAGAUAACAGUUCAUUACAAUUAUAUCUAAAGAGUACUGCGUCACGUGAGAUUUCGACGAUUUCCAUCCAUUCAUUAGCUACCCCUGGUACCAGACAUGGGUCAGUUCUUUUUAAAACAAAACAGCAGACCGUCAUAGCGAACAACAGUGCGUCGUUUUCAAAGUUCGAGCGGAGAUCAGCCGUGAUUUAAUCUGUCCGUCUUGGGCAAACACGAUCAAGAUUAGAAACUUCCUUUCUUUGGCUGAAAUCUGUGGUUCAUGAGGCUUGAAAAAUAUAUGAAAGCGACUUACAAACAAUUUUUAAUAUGGUCUAGAUUUGAAGGGCUGGAAAGUCCCUGAUAAUAGCUCAAACAGCCAUCUUUUAUACAUGUGGUCUUUGAUACAGAGGCUAAUGAUCGUCGUACAAGGCGAAACAUGAACUGCCAAUUGGCCAUUUUGAAUUGUUCUAUGUUAUUUUUCCACCUGUCAAGCUAUCCGAUUGUUUCGAGCCCCUCAAUUCUUAGGACAGUUAUCAACCUUAGAUUUAAUUCCGCUAGAAUUUUGUCUCGUGUGCAGCUUAAACAAGCAACACUUCAGUGGGUUUAUACCUACUAAUAUCGCUUGACGCGCAACUACUUCUAAAGCAGGUCGAAGAAAGCAGGUUAAUUUGUGGUUUAAUUUAAACUUCAACUGCAAUAAAUAACGGUUACAUUGAAUACACAGAACAAUUUAGAACGACACUUUUAAACUAUGUGAAACACUUCACUAUUGUAACCGUUUUUUGUUUAAAUAUAGCCUUCGAAAGAGAAGCUAAAAAAGAUUCUCAAUUUUGUCAUGCCAUCCUGUAGAAUCAGCUUGACCUGAACAGAGCAAACAAGAUGGCGUCGAGCUGACCACCUCGUCAUGGUAAGUCGAAUAGCGAAGUAACAUCAUGAGCGGGUAUUAGCACGAUUUACCACCGUCAGAUAAUCUACGAAUAUUUCAUAUACUCUUGCGUAAAGUAUACUCGUCGCGACAAUGAAAUUUUGUCAUGUUCAGCUGCUGUGUUCAGUAGCUGUUCAGAGCCUGUGUAUAUAUAUAUAUUUUUAGCUUUUUCAAAGCGCAGCAAUCGUGAAGUUACAACUAUUCCAUCAUCGAAGCAGUCGCCUUCAUCGGAACAGUUUACGGCCUUCUCGCCAUAUGAAGAAACAGCAACUCGAUGCUUGCGCGUAUAGGCCAAAACCAGCUAUUGACCUGACAGCCUGCAUGAUCGUAUUCUACAAAGCGUGUCCUUACAAGCAGCGUGUUCGAAACAGGCGUACCUUCUAUCUAGCUGCUGCUCACAAGACUAUUGAGCGAUCUGAACCGGAACUUUCCAUAGCAUACACAAUCAUCGACGAAUCAGCCAAUCCAGGCCAUGGAACAUGCAAUCAAUAUCUGGACGCAGAUCUACGUAUACAUCGUAACGGUCGGACUCGCCACGGCGCCGUAAUUGUACAAGCUACGAGCUACAUAACACUUAUAUAACGCCAUUUUUCGAAGCUGACUGUGACUAGGUCUCUAAGAUACUUCAGCGACUUAUGUACACAAGUUAUUACCCUACGUCACGGCAAUGUGUAUGCUCACGUAGUAUGUGAGCUUAUUUUUUAGUCUACCCAUCAAAUGGUGGAUGUGAAGUAAAUAUAAGAAAUACGCUUACAAUACUGGAAUAAGGCAGAAUAAAAUUAACCUUCAGCAGGAGUUAGGUGUUCUUCUUUUCCUGUAAUUAUAAUAGGCUCUUCACAAACAGAAAUCCUACGUCCCUUCACAGAAUCGUAGCAUAUCAGCUUCUACAAUUACGUUAGUAUAUAAUAGAAAUAACUAACGGCUCAUAUUCGAAGUCA